rnacentral:rRNA from 1 species
UACGUAGGGUGCAAGCGUUAAUCGGAAUUACUAGGCGUAAAGGGCUCGUAGGCGGCCAACUAAGUCACACGUGAAAUCCCCAGGCUUAACCUGGGAACUGCGUGUGAUACUGGAUGGCUUGAAUUCGGGAGAGGGAUGCAGAAUUCCAGGUGUAGCGGUGAAAUGCGUAGAUAUCUGGAGGAAUACCGGUGGCGAAGGCGGCAUCCUGGACCGACAUUGACGCUGAGGAGCGAAAGCUAGGGGAGCAAACGGG